rnacentral:rRNA from 1 species
UACAGAGGGUGCAAGCGUUGUCCGGAAUCACUGGGCGUAAAGGGCGCGUAGGUGGCCCGACAAGUCGCUGGUGAAAGCUCGACGCUCAACGUCGAGUCGGCCAGUGAUACUGUUGGGCUGGAGCACUGUAGAGGCUCAUGGAAUUCCGGGUGUAGCGGUGGAAUGCGUAGAGAUCCGGAAGAACACCGGUGGCGAAGGCGGUGAGCUGGGCAGUUGCUGACACUGAGGCGCGACAGCGUGGGGAGCAAACAGG